UUAACUCGAAUUUGUAUGGAGUUGGAAUAUCUGCCUAUGUUUGCCGCUAGGGGUGUUCCAACUGAAUACAAAUUUUAGUUA
rfam:Bombyx mori DNA, contig: Bm_scaf106_contig36751, strain: p50T/Dazao, build 2, whole genome shotgun sequence.